rnacentral:rRNA from 1 species
GACGAACGCUGGCGGCGUGCCUAAUACAUGCAAGUCGAACGCAGUGGGGACGGGUGAGUAACACGUGGGCAACCUCACAUCAGAGGGGAUAACACAUGGAACAAGGGGCUAAACCGAUACUGAUGGAUGGACCCGCGGUGCAUUAGCUAGUUGGUGAGGUAACGGCACACCAAGGCCCAGAUGCAUAGCCGACCUGAGGGGGUGACCGGUCCCAAUGGGACUGAGAGACUGCCCAGACGCCUACGACAGUCAGCAGUUGGGAAUCUUCGGCAAUGGACGAGAGUCUGACCGAGGAACGCCCCGGUCUUGAAGGAGGUUUUCGGUUCGUAAAACUCUGUUGUGUGAGAAGCGGUAUCUGACAAGAAAACCAAGGUCAACUACAUGCCAGCAGCCGCGGUAAUAC